UACAGGGGGUGCAAGCGUUGCUCGGAAUCACUGGGCGUAAAGCGUACGCAGGCGGACCGUUAAGUCGGGUGUGAAAGCCCGGGGCUCAACCCCGGAAUUGCAUUCGAUACUGGCGGUCUUGAGUACGGGAGAGGUGAGUGGAAUUCCUGGUGUAGAGGUGAAAUUCGUAGAUAUCAGGAGGAACACCGGUGGCGAAAGCGGCUCACUGGCCCGAUACUGACGCUCAUGUACGAAAGCGUGGGGAGCAAACAGG
rnacentral:rRNA from 1 species